AAGUGUUUAAGUGGAUGAGAAUAGGGAUGUAAUACGUAAAAAAACACAAAAACUUUUUCACAAAAAGGGCUUUCAUCUUUUCAGCCACCCAAAUCAUAUGGUGGAAAUUCAUAGAAAGCAAGGGCCUUGAAACUUUAGGUGUAAAUCAAACAGAGAUCACACAAUAAUAAAUCAUAAUUCAUCCCUUGUUAUGGGAUGGCAAACAUAACAAAAUUAUGGCAAACAUAAAAAGCAACUAUUUCUGAAAAAAGAUGCAACUAAACUUCAAUUAUACAUAGGCCAACUGUCAAUGACAAUUUGAACUUAGAAAAAAACUAUGUUACAAACAACUAUUGGUAAAGAUAACAUUUAUUCCCUGGUAUCCAUAAAGAUGUUGUGUUUCUCAAAACUGACAUAUCGGUCCCAUCAGCUACUUGACAGUGAUGGGAAAAAUAGCCCUGAAACAGUGAAGAUUAUUGUCCUCAACAUAUAGCAAAUGACCCACCACUAUUUCAACCAUUAUCUUGCCUUCUUUCCUUCUUUCUUUCUUUCAAUUUAUUGCACAAGGGGAGGAUGAAAUAUAAAUGUGGGCUGCGAAAAAAAUAAAAGACCUUUCUCUUCAGCAAGAGUUGUCUUCAUUAGGGACUGUCAUUUUCGUACAGUCCUUAACUCUUCUGUCAAUAUCAGAUCAACCUGUGGGUCUUUUCCAUGCAGAAGUUUCAUGUAGCCUCACCGAAUCUGACGGGUUACCAAAUCUGUGACCUAAUUACUGUUGUGGCGUUUGAUCAUCCAUGAAAUACUGGCUUCCCUUUGUUUUGCCUCCUUGCUGUGGUGGGGAGGCCUGUGUGCCUCCAUGACUCUGAAGGCUGUACUGGCGGGGGUCAUAUCCCCAGCAGGUCCAACCAAGCCCGGCAGGUUUCAUUCAGGGUCAAGGCCAGACGAAAAGCAGGACCUGGUCCUCCAGGUUGGAAGUUGGGCAUGCGACUACAACUCCACCCCGUAGAGAUUCCAUCCUGUUGCAGAAACUGGGACAAAUAGUCACAACCUUAUGCUCCACAGGGAACGAAGAGGAUUAAGUAAGUAAGUGAAGAGAACUGGACAAACUUUCAUUUGAUGACAGUCAGGUGGCACCAACAAUCACAUUAUUUCCACCAGAGACACCAGAGAGCUCUAAAAAAAAAACCCCAGAUUCAAUCUCAGCCCUGACUUCAGAGAGAGAGAUCAUCCCUAAUUUUAAUAAACAAAGACACUCCACCUCCAGAUCUGUUCUCUCUUAUGUUGUGAACUAAAUUGUAUUUAGAUAAUUUAAAGAUUUCUCUGGAGUCCCCUGUAAGCAAUGUUUCUGAUAAGGCAAUAACAGAAAAAUCAUGUUUGUGUGAUGAUAAAUAAUGAAUGAAUUUGUCAUAGCUGCUGAAGAGACUUCUUAUAUUCAGAUGAAAAGUAGAGAAUAUAUGAGGAGGCAUAUUACAUACCAUAUUAAACUGGGUUUUAUUAUAAAAACUACAAAGAUGCAUCAAAUGAUAAAACUAGGUCUGGAUCAACAUCAAAAUUGUGAGAGUCAAUUGUGGAGGGAUCAAAGGGCUUAAAGAUCUGGCCUUCAAAAUCAGAUUUGUUGUAGUCCAUACUCUGUGUAAAGAAUAGUGUGCUGCAGAUGUGUGGUUAAAUAAUCAAAGUGCAGUAUAAAUGCCUGAUGGUGGAGACUAAUAAGCCAAACUCUGAGAGUUGGCCUUCAUUUGUUGUGGUGGGUUUUGGGUCGGUGGAUGGAAAAUAAAUUUGUCAUAUCUCAAAUAUGCAAUGUCACCUCUCUCUUGAGCUCAGGAAGGUCCCCUUUAUCCAGAACAGUAAGUUUGUCC